CAUUAAUAAAGAGUAUCAGGUGUGUAUAGUUCUGAAAGAGUUAAGACUUGAUUGAGUGCAAUAAGCAUUCAAAACUCCUUCCCAAACGCCUGCCCCAGCCCAGCCACUGUGAUAAUAUCACAUGGAUUGAUGAGACGAAAGAAACAGCUUGUUGGAGUCAGACGUGGGACUAAUCUUUUCCUUAUAAUCUCUGAGGGAAUGUUAGUCAUGGUCAUCCAACUUUAAAUCAUUAUAUCAGGUAAAGGAGGAAUGCUCUCUAUUGGAGUGUUGCAUACCAAGGAUAUAGAAGAUUAAGAAACUUCAACCGCCCUACAAAGCCAAAACUGUCCAGAACAACGACAACUGUUCAACUAUCAAUGCCAGUGCUACCAGUGACCUUCACUACAAUGGUUACAAACACAAGAUAAAGAAUUAGAAUGAGACCAUUUGGCCCAUUGAGUUUGUUCCCCUAUUCAAUCUUGGCUGAACUACGUCUCAAACCCACUAUCCUGCCUUCUCGCCAUAACCCUUGAGAAAAAGUUAUCAACUAUCUACUCUUCAAGAGCAAUUUAGUGACUGAUCCUCUAUGUAUUUUGUACACGUUAGUCUUUUUGGACUCGGCUUUUAUUUUGAAUCUGUAUGUAUAUAUGUUGCUUCUGACGCUUAGUAAUUAAUAAAUUCAUUUCUUUUGUUAAUU